rnacentral:rRNA from 1 species
AUGCAGUCGACGGUGAAGCUCCAGCUUGCUGGAGUGGAUCAGUGGCGAACGGGUGAGUAACACGUGAGCAACCUGCCCCAAACUCUGGAAUAAGCACUGGAAACGGUGUUUAAUACUGGAUACGAGACCAACCUGCAUGGGUAUGGUUUGGAAAGUUUUUCGGUUUGGGAUGGGCUCGCGGCCUAUCAGCUUGUUGGUGAGGUAAUGGCUCACCAAGGCGACGACGGGUAGCCGGCCUGAGAGGGCGACCGGCCACACUGGGACUGAGACACGGCCCAGACUCCUACGGGAGGCAGCAGUGGGGAAUAUUGCACAAUGGGCGAAAGCCUGAUGCAGCGACGCCGCGUGAGGGAUGACGGCCUUCGGGUUGUAAACCUCUUUCAGCAGGGAAGAAGCGAAAGUGACGGUACCUGCAGAAGAAGCACCGGCUAACUACGUGCCAGCAGCCGCGGUAAUACGUAGGGUGCGAGCGUUGUCCGGAAUUAUUGGGCGUAAAGAGCUUGUAGGCGGUUUGUCGCGUCUGCUGUGAAAAUCCGGGGCUCAACCCCGGACUUGCAGUGGGUACGGGCAGACUAGAGUGUGGUAGGGGAGACUGGAAUUCCUGGUGUAGCGGUGAAAUGCGCAGAUAUCAGGAGGAACACCGAUGGCGAAGGCAGGUCUCUGGGCCACUACUGACGCUGAGAAGCGAAAGCAUGGGGAGCGAACAGGAUUAGAUACCCUGGUAGAAUCACUAGUGAAUUC